UGCUCUGUGAUUACAUGCCUUAACAGGGCAAUAUACGCUAUUCUGAAGAUGAAAGUUGUGUAGAGAUCUACUGAAAUGAAAUGAGAGCU
rfam:Cucumis melo, WGS project CAJI01000000 data, contig: 07675